rnacentral:antisense_RNA from 1 species
CUUCGCGUUGGGUUUACGGGCGAUAAUACCAUUCCCCACUGCAUGCAACAGGUGCGUUUUACCCAAGCCAGUGCCGCCAUA